rnacentral:misc_RNA from 1 species
GAUGAAGAACGCAGCGAAAUGCGAUACUUGGUGUGAAUUGCAGAAUCCCGUGAACCAUCGAGUCUUUGAACGCAAGUUGCGCCCGAAGCCAUUAGGCCGAGGGCACGCCUGCCUGGGCGUCACACGUCGUUGCCCCCCCAUCUACUCCUUCGGGAUUGCGGGGGGCGGAUGAUGGCCUCCCGUGCGCCUCGUCGCGCGGUUGGCAUAAAUGCCAAGUCCUCGGCGACGCACGCCACGACAAUCGGUGGUUGCGAAACCUCGGUUGCCCGUCGUGUGCGGUCGUCGCGCAUCGAGGGCUCGAAAAAAUUGCUGGGCUCCGGCUCGGCUUUCAACGCGACCCCAGGUCAGGCGGGGUUACCCACUGAAUUUAAGCAUAUCAAUAAGCGGAGGA